rnacentral:rRNA from 1 species
UACAGAGGGUGCAAGCGUUGUUCGGAAUUACUGGGCGUAAAGCGCGUGUAGGCGGCUUAUCAAGUCCUGUGUGAAAGCCCUGGGCUCAACCCAGGAAGUGCGCAGGAUACUGAUUGAGCUGGAGUAGCGGAGAGGAUGGCGGAAUACCCGGUGUAGAGGUGAAAUUCGUAGAUAUCGGUGGAAACACCGGUGGCGAAGGCGGCCAUCUGGACGGAUACUGACCGCUGAGAGACGAAAGCCUAGGGGAGCGAAUGGG